CCUUCUCUCUCUUAACUACUCUCGGCUUCUCCUCCUCACGGCUCUGUUUCUCUCGAUUCUUCCUCCUCUUCUCUCUGCUCUCUCACGCACGCCCCAGAGACGAAAGGCGCCGGCGAUGGUGGGCUGCCGCAGGGCGCGCGCCGGGGAGGAGACCGGGGAGCUGGCGGCUUAGGCCGGGCGGCGCGGCAGGAGGCAGCACCCCUGCCGGGCCAGCGCAUCCAAGCGCGCAGCUGGGGUGACGGCGCGGCACGGCGGCCAGGCGGGUGCGCGGCCGGGAGGCGAUGCAGAGAGGUGGCGUUGGCGGAGGAGGGAGAUGAGGGAGCUGCACCAGGUAGGAGGUGGUCGGGCGCCGGUGGCGAAGGGAGGAAACCGGCGGCGACGGCGGCCGAUGCGACGGCGACGCCGAUGGGCGUGAGGAGGCCGCGGCUGGGGGCGCUCGUCCCGGUGCAGGGACGCGGCCACGCAAAAGGGCCGGAGGUGGCGCCUGUGCGGGCCGAUCUGGUCGCGCGCGGGCGGCGUUCCACCCGGAGCGGCGGCGACCCGGAUCAAGGCGAUGAGGGUGGCGGAGGUCGCAGUGGUUCCUCGGCUGGGCGGAGACAGAGGCGGCCGUGUAAGCUGCUCGCGCGGCCGGUGUGGCCGUGGAGGCAGCACUCGCUCGGGGUCGGCCUGGCCGUGCGCGGCGGCAGCGGAGACGGUGCGGGGAGGUGAAGGCGACGAGCGGCUUGGAAGGAUGAAGCAGAGGUGGCCGUGACAAAGUUGACGGCGCGCAGGGUCCGGGCCGCACGGCUUGGAGCGCACUCAAGGUGCUCGUCCGUGCGCCUCGGGCCGGCGCGAGCAGGAUGAUGGUGGCGGGGAUCGAAGGGCGAGGAUGGAGGAGGAAUGGUUGGGCAUGGCAACUCUGGUAGCCAUAGUUUUUGCUUGAUUGUGGAUGGCUUCGAGGAUAAGGAAUAGAGCGAGGCUUCGAGGAUAAGGAACGGCACAGUGGCGAUGCGGCGGCGUGGACGCAGCUCACGCGGGCGGCGUGGACGCUCGUCUGUGAGCAGUGAAGAACAGGGACGAGCGGUGUGGACUGGGAGUAGCGGCGCACGCACAGGCGACGGCCUGGGUGGCGGCGAAGUGACCAUCGGUCACUAGGCUGCCCCGGAGCACGUGUCGGCGGCGGAUGGGAUGGACGGCGAUGAGGUGGGCCAGGAUGUCGACAUCGCCACAGGGGGGGAGGCUUACAAGGGAUUUGGUGGACUGGGUGCUUGCAGGAAUGGAGGAACGAGCGACCUUGCUCGGUGUACAGAUAUGGUGGCGCCAAGGAUGGACGCGGUGCGCGGCGUGCAUCGCUGCGGCGCACGGAGGCGCGACUCGGUGCACGGCGCGGCUGGCACGGUGCAACGGCGUGGUUGCCGACUGAUGCAAGGCGGCGCGGCUCAGCACAGUGCUCACCCGGCUCAACAUUUUGUCGAACACGUGGUGGGCAUGUGAACCUGGCUGGGAGGAGGAAGGAGGAAGGGCAGCUGGGCCAGCUGAGGUAAGGAAGGGGGUGGAAACAGACUUGGGCUGGAAUGAGGGAAAGGGAGGCAGGAUGGACUUAGGCUGUGAUGAGCUGUUGGGUUGGCAGAGCGAGAGAGAGGUGGCACAAGUGUAAAAGGAUACUUUGUAUAACUGUAGCAAGGAAUUUGUACAUCCCCAUUGUAAUUGGAAUUUUGUAGAUGGACCCCAAACAUGUAAUGGGAGUGUAUAACUGUAAUUGGACUGUAUAAUUGGACAUUCGGCUUUGAGCUGGGAUUGAAAUAUGGAAUUGGGGUUUGGAACUAAA